rnacentral:snRNA from 1 species
GCUUGCUUUGGCAACACGUACAUAUCAAAAUUGGAAUGAUACAGAGAUUAGCAUGGCCCCUGUGCAAGGAUGACACACAUUUGUGCAGCAUUCUAUU